rnacentral:sRNA from 1 species
AGCCUAAACCUGUAAAAAAUUACGGGCAUGGUAAUCGAAACCUGUUCAAGAUAUAGACCCCGUCGUAUGGGACUACCUUGAACAGGUCAUGUCUGGAAACGGACAUGGAUAGGUGGCGAAAGCCAUCCAUC